UUCUGGAGAAUCAGAAAUAGUUCAAACGGAGCUCCACAGGAAGUAGGAAAUAAGGCUCAUCAUGUCCUACCCAUGAGAGUCAGAACAGCUGUUCUUUAAUUUGGGAGACUGGAUGAUGACUGUGACAAGUGAAAGUGCCUAAGAUUUAACUGCAUUGGAGUCUGAAUAUUUUCUAUACCCGACUUGACAAAAUGGGAGAAGGGAGAUAUUAACUACAGGGAAGAAGAGACUUGGAGAGAGAGAUAUUUCCUCUGUCCUUUGUGUGUAACAUUGAUUCAUUAGUAGGAAAUUAGUGUGUGUGUGUAUGUAUAUGUGAAACAAGUGUCUAAAACAUGCUCUCAUCUGUUGAUAGGCCAUUAAUCACAAUGGGAUUAAGCAAAUCAUCCCUCUAAUAUCCACAAGGAUUCAUCCACUGAGGCUGCCCUACCAUCUGGCUGCCCUUCCUCUUCCUCAUUUCUAGUCCUUCCUCAGUGCUAACCUUCAGAAUUAGAGAACUUAAUCGUGGAUUUAUGGAUAAAGCACUCAUGCUUCUGAAAUAGAAGUGAAUUAUCGGCAGUCCAAGAACUCACAGCCGGUGAUCUCCAUUAAUUGUCUCCCAGUACAUAUUUUAAUCCUUUACUCUUAGCCAACAUGGGUUUGGCAGCCAAAGCAUAUGUGCUGGCUUGAGACUCCAGAUUCCAGAGGCACUUCAUUACAAAGCAAUCACCACUGCCUUUGCGGUCUCCUUCCUGACAGCCCGGCUAAGGGGUUUGGACACAAGUAGGAUUCCUCCUAUACAUCCAGGUUCCUCUACUUAGUUGUCAGCAUGCCCUGAAGGUGCUCUCUGACCAUCCAAGUUUAUCACCCCAUCCAGAGCAAACCUUCCUUCCAGGUAAGUAAAACGCCGAUAAAUCUUAAUCCCUGAAUACUGUGUUUGUCUCUUUCAUAUGGAUUUAAUGAGCUGAUCAAAGUGAUUAUUUCCCCCCCCCGCCUUUUUUUUAAUCUUGGAUUUCACAAUAGUUUCUUGGAGUAAGGAAAGUCUUCUAAGUUUACUAUAGGUCCAACCUUUCUCUCCUCUGAUUUAUGCCUGCCUCCUCCAUUUUUACGUGGACAAAUCCAGAGCAAUGGUUCUCAACCAGGGGCUUUUAUGCCCCUGGCCCCAACGAAUGAUUUGGCGAUGUUUGCAGAUUAUUUUUGAUUGUCACAGCUGGGUUGCGGGGGUUAUACUGGCAUCUAGUGGGUAGAGGCCGGGAUGCUGCUAAACAUUCUAACAUGCACAGGACAGCAGCCCUCCACAGAAAGAGUUAUCGAGCCCAAAGCGUUAAUAGUCCUGAGGUUGAGAAACCCUGAGUUAGAGUCAAAUUUAUUACAGUAGCAUUACCACGCCAUCCCAUAGACUUCUUCACCCUUGGCUAGUAGCAGAACUAAGCCUCAGUAAAUCCUGAGUCACAAUGAAUCACAAAUUUGAACAGGAGGAAAUGCUCUGUACUGGAGGCAGGCAGGAGUGCGGGUGUGAUGUGGAACACUUCCAUAUCAGCGUGCCCUGCGGUUGAUUCCCCUCUCAGCUCCAUCACACUCUCCUGCCUUAACGUCAAGGGUACCAAACCACUUGCUGAAGGCUACCAAAAUGACUGAGGAAAAUAUUUUAUCACCCUUCCCACUAUUUAUGCUUCCUCAAUAAUAAAAUAAGUGCUGGUUUAUACAAAAA